CAGGAAUUGAACUCAGGACCUUGCAAUUGCCAUGAAGGUGCUUGUGCCACUGAGCUAUAUCCCCACCCAGGCUGAAGUAGAAUUUGAGAUCUGAGGUGUUUUUAUGUUUUGAAAACUAGUUUCUUCUAAUAGAGGUAAGUAUUCAUUCCCAACUCCUUAUUUGCGUUUUGCUUGGAAUUCCUAAGCAAGGAUGUGAAAAUAAAGACACUCUACAGUGAAAGUAUCUUAUAGUUGAGCCUGUUUACUUUUGUUGUUCUUUCAGUUUGUCUCAAGAUGAAGAUUUAUGCAGUAAUUGUAGCUGUUGUGAUAAGUUUAUAUUCAUUUUCAAAUUUUAUGCCAGAACAAAAAUCCUUUUCUUAGAAAUUUUCCAAGCAAGUCAACUUUUGUUUUAGGAAUGAGUCAGAGACCACCAAGACUAUAUUUUAGGUGAGUAGUUUCUCUUACUUGCUUCUUUUAUCUUUUUAGUUUACAGGUAGAUUGUAUCUUAGUCCUGAAUGCCAGUAGUUGGUUCUGAGAAAAAUGAAUUUAAAUAGAUUUAUUAACUUCUCUGCUUUUUGCCUUCUCAAUUCUUAUUGUGUUUAAUUUGUUUACAGCUGACUGCGAGGUCUCUGAAGUAAGGGGAUUCACAACGGAGUUCUUACAAGAGGUCCUUGAACCAUCUGGAUGGUGGGCAGUCUGGCCCACUAAUGUGCUUGAGGUACUGGUUGAGAACAGCUACUAGGAAUCAAGCCAGACAAGCUGCACUGCCUUGUGAUGCCUGAGCAUGGGAGGAAGUGACCUUCAAGGUGGGAGGACAAGGUGGAGAGGUGCUGGAGCCCAAUGCUUAUGAAGGUAAGAAUGAGGACAGGAAGCUGGCAUGGUGGUACUUGGCUGCAAUCCCAGCAUGCUGAGGCCGGAGGAU
rnacentral:lncRNA from 1 species